rnacentral:tRNA from 1 species
GGGCCAGUGGCGGAAUGGUAUACGCGCAACACUUAAAAUGUUGUCCGCUUAGCGGAUGAGGGUUCGACUCCCUCCUGGCCCA